rnacentral:rRNA from 1 species
AUGUGGAGCGCUUAGAAGUGAGAAUGCCGGUGUGAGUAGCGAAAGACGGGUGAGAAUCCCGUCCACCGAUUGACUAAGGUUUCCAGAGGAAGGCUCGUCCGCUCUGGGUUAGUCGGGUCCUAAGCUGAGGCCGACAGGCGUAGGCGAUGGAUAACAGGUUGAUAUUCCUGUACCACCUAUAAUCGUUUUAAUCGAUGGGGGGACGCAGUAGGAUAGGCGAAGCGUGCGAUUGGAUUGCACGUCUAAGCAGUAAGGCUGAGUAUUAGGCAAAUCCGGUACUCAUUAAGGCUGAGCUGUGAUGGGGAGAAGACAUUGUGUCUUCGAGUCGUUGAUUUCACACUGCCGAGAAAAGCCUCUAGAUAGAAAAUAGGUGCCCGUACCGCAAACCGACACAGGUAGUCAAGAUGAGAAUUCUAAGGUGAGCGAGCGAACUCUCGUUAAGGAACUCGGCAAAAUGACCCCGUAACUUCGGGAGAAGGGGUGCUCUUUAGGGUUAACGCCCAGAAGAGCCGCAGUGAAUAGGCCCAAGCGACUGUUUAUCAAAAACACAGGUCUCUGCUAAACCGUAAGGUGAUGUAUAGGGGCUGACGCCUGCCCGGUGCUGGAAGGUUAAGAGGAGUGGUUAGCUUCUGCGAAGCUACGAAUCGAAGCCCCAGUAAACGGCGGCCGUAACUAUAACGGUCCUAAGGUAGCGAAAUUCCUUGUCGGGUAAGUUCCGACCCGCACGAAAGGCGUAACGAUUUGGGCACUGUCUCAACGAGAGACUCGGUGAAAUCAUAGUACCUGUGAAGAUGCAGGUUACCCGCGACAGGACGGAAAGACCCCGUGGAGCUUUACUGUAGCCUGAUAUUGAAAUUCGGCACAGCUUGUACAGGAUAGGUAGGAGCCUUUGAAACGUGAGCGCUAGCUUACGUGGAGGCGCUGGUGGGAUACUACCCUAGCUGUGUUGGCUUUCUAACCCGCACCACUUAUCGUGGUGGGAGACAGUGUCAGGCGGGCAGUUUGACUGGGGCGGUCGCCUCCUAAAAGGUAACGGAGGCGCUCAAAGGUUCCCUCAGAAUGGUUGGAAAUCAUUCAUAGAGUGUAAAGGCAUAAGGGAGCUUGACUGCGAGACCUACAAGUCGAGCAGGGUCGAAAGACGGACUUAGUGAUCCGGUGGUUCCGCAUGGAAGGGCCAUCGCUCAACGGAUAAAAGCUACCCCGGGGAUAACAGGCUUAUCUCCCCCAAGAGUUCACAUCGACGGGGAGGUUUGGCACCUCGAUGUCGGCUCAUCGCAUCCUGGGGCUGUAGUCGGUCCCAAGGGUUGGGCUGUUCGCCCAUUAAAGCGGUACGCGAGCUGGGUUCAGAACGUCGUGAGACAGUUCGGUCCCUAUCCGUCGUGGGCGUAGGAAAUUUGAGAGGAGCUGUCCUUAGUACGAGAGGACCGGGAUGGACAUACCUCUGGUGUACCAGUUGUCGUGCCAACGGCAUAGCUGGGUAGCUAUGUGUGGACGGGAUAAGUGCUGAAAGCAUCUAAGCAUGAAGCCCCCCUCAAGAUGAGAUUUCCCAACUUCGGUUAUAAGAUCCCUCAAAGAUGAUGAGGUUAAUAGGUUCGAGGUGGAAGCAUGGUGACAUGUGGAGCUGACGAAUACUAA